GUCACAGUUCAGAGUGUAGAACGUUUCAUUUUUUUUAUUUUGGUUGACCAAAUAUAUAUACAAGAUUAUCUAUGAUUCUUUCAAUUAUUUUUCUUAAAUUACAUCAAAAUAUUGAAAUAUAUGGAAAUUGGAGAUGAAUUUAUUUAUAAAGAAUAUAUAAGCAAUACAAUUUGUUGUUUAUAUUUAUAUAAACUUUAUAUAAGUAUAUAGUAAUUGUUAAUUUAUGAUUUUAAUGAUCAAUUCAUAUAUUUAUCAAAAAAAUAAAAUUUAAUUAUUGAGAUUAUAAUUAAUCCCCUUAAUCCAAUAAAUAGCCAUAAAAUCAUUAAUUAAUCAAAUAUUAAAUUAUUGAGCCAAUAUAGAGCCAUAAAAUCCUUAAUUAAUCAAAUAUUGAAUUAUUGAGAUUAUAAUAUAUAUUUAGGUUUUAAGUACUAAUUCAUAUCUUGGUUUCACAAUUUGCAAUUUUUCAAGCUUUUGAAUAUAUAUUUGAGUUUAGAUGGUUUUAAAUAAUACAUAAACCUUUUUGACAACAUACAUAAACUUCUUAUAAGUGUCAUAUAAAUCUGUUCAGAUGUUUUUAUAAAUCGGAUUAGUGUGUAUAUAGGUUUUUUAUUCGGGUUUGAUUCAGAUCUUAGAUUCAAUUGUAAAUGAUGAGGUCUAAUUCGCAGAUACCACCAAAAUUCGUUUAUUUAUCUCCAUGAAGAUCAUUAUUACAAUGAAAUAAAGUUGGGGGCCUGCAAAUCUUGUGUGGUUUCAGUCCUUCAGAAUCAGAUCCCAUCUAUUCAAAAUACUCCAUGGGGCAUUUAUAUGAGGAACACGAAGCGUCGAAGCCCAAUGUCUAAAUGCCGCUACAAGAUCUCAUAGGGCGCACUGCUAAUAACACCAUUUUUUCUCCAAAUAAACUUUUAUCUGGUUACGAAACUGAUUAUGCUAUUAGAUAUGGGUUCUGCAAUGCACCAUGUAAACAAAAUGACGAUAAGGUAACAUGGUCAUAUUAUUACUUGUUUGUUGGUAGUUGGAACUAUAGCUGGACAGUAAUUGUGAAAAGUUACUGCUAUCAGCGCCGUUCAAUAUUAUAUCAUAGGUGCUAGGUAAAAAAAAUGAAACCUUCAAAUUUUAAUUUUUAGGUAUUUUAGUACUUUUUCCUUUCAAGUUUUAUAGUAUUAUACUGAUUUUGUUAUGAGUAAUUAUAUGUAUAUUGUAAAUAAAAUAUAUUCACUAACGCUUUUCAAUCAAAAACCUUGUACUAUUUCUAAAAUUUAUAUUAUUCAAAAAUAUAUAAAUAUAUAAAAUCAGGAACUCUGAUUAUUACAACACCAAAUUGAAUGUGGGAUGUGGCACCCUUUGCCCCCCUCCUCAGCCGGCAUUGACUGCGAUUACAAAGACAGCAUACAAUGACAACAUUGACAAGAAGCAUACGAAGUGGUGUCUGUAGACUAUUGUGGUGUUUUUUAAUUUGCAAUUUGGUUUUCGGUGUCCCAAAGUAUACUUUACUAUGAUAAUGAUACCCAUUUACAGAUUUUAUUUAUUUAUCAGAAAAUACCUGUCGGGAAAAAAUAGUCACGACCAUUUUCCACUUUUUUUAAUUACCGAUGAAUUUAGCUUUAAUCACUAUCAGUCCUAAAUUAUUAUAAAAAUAUAAAUUUAUGCAAUACGAUACAAGUAUAAAACUUCUUGCAUUACUAUCAUGAUACAUUGAUAAACGAAGAAGGAAAAAACAUAAUAAUCCUCAUAUAUAUUUUACAGAUAUGGACUCUACCACCAAA